CAACGUUGACCUCUUGCAACUUAGUUCUCGUCACCGUAGUUACUUCUGUUCUGUCACCUUCCGAUCGAACUCUCCACCAUCGACAGUGCCGACGCCUGCCUCCACCGGAAACAGAGCACGACGGCUGUCACCGGAUCCCUUCUCCGAUAGUUUGCUCAUGCUUUAGUAGUACUAGGAAGGAAUGAUAAAGACUUUGCCACUUCCUUGCCAAUUGUAGAAUGUUUGGGGAAAAGGGGAGUCAUGGUACCAACAUCAACAAGUGUUGCAUAUUGAACUUGUUGCUAUUUUGCAUGGAUAAGUGUAGAAUGUUUGGGGAGAUGGUACUGAGAUUCUCUUCCAAAAGGUUCGAAAAUCAUAAGCGCUUUAAUUGUAAAGGAACAAGGAUGGAACUCAGUAUUACACAACCUGAUGAUUGGCAUCUUCACCUUCGUGAUGGUGACCUACUUGAAGGUGUCAUCCCUCAUAGUGCCAAGCAUUUCGGAAGGGCAAUAGUGAUGCCCAAUUUGAAACCACCCAUCACUACUACUGCAGCUGCUUUGGCUUAUAGGGAGUCCAUUUUGAAAGCAUUGCCUAAAGAUAGCAGCUUCACUCCUUUGAUGACCCUUUACUUAACAGAUAUGACAAGCCCUGAUGAGAUUAAACGUGCAAAAAAGAGUGGAGCUGUUUAUGGUGUGAAGUUGUAUCCUGCUGGUGCUACCACAAAUUCUCAAGAUGGUGUUACAGAUCUUUUUGGAAAAUGCUUUCCUGUUCUUGAGGAAAUGGUUGAGCAAGAUUUACCAUUACUGGUUCAUGGAGAAGUUACAGAUCCAAAUGUUGAUAUUUUUGACCGGGAAAAGGUUUAUAUUGAAACGAUUUUAGUGCCUUUGGUGCAAAAGCUUCCACAGCUUAAGAUUGUAAUGGAGCAUAUUACUACCAUGGAUGCUGUCAAGUUUGUUAUGUCUUGCAAAGAGGGUUCUGUAGGUGCAACUGUUACACCUCAGCAUCUUAUCCUUAACCGCAAUGCUUUGUUCCAAGGUGGCUUGCAGCCUCACAAUUACUGUCUUCCAGUUCUCAAAAGAGAGAUCCACAGACAGGCUAUUGUUUCGGCUGUCACUAGCGGAAGUAAGAGAUUUUUUCUCGGAACUGAUAGUGCUCCACAUGAAAAGCGUAAAAAGGAAUGUGCUUGUGGAUGUGCUGGCAUAUUCAAUGCUCCUGUUGCUCUAUCAGUCUAUGCCAAAGUCUUUGAGGAGGCUGGUGCACUCGAUAAGUUGGAGGCCUUUACAAGCUUUAAUGGGUCUGACUUCUAUGGCUUACCCAGAAACAAGUCAAAGCUUACUCUAAAGAAGGCUCCAUGGAAAGUACCUGAACUGUUAUCUUUUCCGUUCGGAGACAUCGUUCCCAUGUUUGCAGGCGGAACCCUUGAAUGGGAGGUAUCCCUUAAUUGACUAGCAUUCUUCCUUUUUGACCAAAAUCACAGGUAUCUUUUUACCUGAGAGAAUCCUUGACGAGCCGGGAACAAUUGACACUUUCUGUGGGAAGUGCAUAAUAAAAUAAAACUGCUACUUGUUAAGAAAGAUAUUCAUGAUUCAUGCAGACGCAGUGUUUAGAGUUUAGAUCAAGGGGUCUGUCUGCACUGCAAGCUUGCUGAUGGGGCUUGUUGAUGGGGCUUGUGGACAUGGAUCUUUAGUGAACGUGUCACAUCAUGGUUUGACUACAUGUAUGGAUCUUUAAUGAAUGUGUCAUAUCAUGAUUUGACUACAUCUAUGUGAAGAUGGACCACUCAGUGACACGUGAUAUGGUGAAGAUGACGCAACAUGCCACAAUUUUAUUUGCCCACAUAUCAAUUUGGUGUUAUGUAUCAUAAUAUGAUUUGUCUAUGUGUCAUCUAUUAUAUCAUCAUUGUAAAUGCAU